rnacentral:rRNA from 1 species
AACGAACGCUGGCGGCGUGCCUAACACAUGCAAGUCGAGCGAGAAAAGGGGGGCAACUCCCUGAGUAAAGCGGCGCACGGGUGAGUAACACGUAGGUGACCUACCCCUGUAGUCUGGGAUAACCUACCGAAAGGUGGGCUAAUACCGGAUAUGACCACGAGAGUUUCGGCUCUUGAGGUGAAAGAUGGCCUCUGCUUGCAAGCCAUCGCUCGAGGAGGGGCCUGCGCGCCAUUAGCUAGUUGGCGGGGUAAUGGCCCACCAAGGCGAUGAUGGCUAGCUGGUCUGAGAGGAUGACCAGCCACACUGGGACUGAAACACGGCCCAGACUCCUACGGGUGGCUG